rnacentral:rRNA from 1 species
UACGGAGGGUGCAAGCGUUGUUCGGAAUUACUGGGCGUAAAGCGCGCGUAGGCGGUUUGCUAAGUCAGAUGUGAAAGCCCAUGGCUCAACCAUGGACGUGCAUUUGAAACUGGCAGACUUGAGUACUGGAGAGGGAGGCGGAAUUCACGGUGUAGCAGUGAAAUGCGUAGAUAUCGUGAGGAACACCAAUGGCGAAGGCAGCCUCCUGGACAGUUACUGACGCUCAGACACGAAAGCGUGGGGAGCAAAA